AAAAAUUACUUACAGUAGUGAAAAAAAUUUACACUAACCCAAUGACACUCUUGAAAGUAUGCCUUUGUUGCUCUUUGAUCUUUUAUUAAAUAACUAAAAAAAAAAUUCGAUUGAUUAUUAUUCAGGAAAAUUGCUUUUGAUAAUGGACAAUCUUAGUAAUCUUGAAAUCAAAUAUGGUCAAGAUGAUUGUGUUGAACCCUUAAAUGGUAAUCAAAAUGUACUACAUAUAGGUGUCACUAUAAAUGAAUGCACUGGACUACAAGAAACUUUCAUCAAAAUCAAAAAUAUACUUUUUAAAUCAACUGUUUUCAAAUCUGC